UGAAUACGAGACGCUAAGGCGUCGAAGUAGUGUAUGUCAUACUUCCAAGAAAAGCUUGCACUGUCAUAGAUAAAAAACGCCUGUACCAUAACCGACACAGGUGGGUAGGUAGAGUAUACUAAGGGGCGCGAGAUAACUCUCUCUAAGGAACUCGGCAAAAUAACUCCGUAACUUCGGGAGAAGGAGUGCCUUAUUCGUAAGGUUGCAAUAACAAGAUCCAAGCAACUGUUUAUCAAAAACACAGGUCUCCGCUAAGUCGUAAGACGAUGUAUGGGGGCUGACGCCUGCCCAGUGCCAGAAGGUUAAAGAAGUUGGUUAGCAAUUGCGAAGCUGAUAACUGAAGCCCUGGUGAACGGCGGCCGUAACGAUAACGGUCCUAAGGUAGCGAAAUUCCUUGUCGGGUAAGUUCCGACCCGCACGAAAGGCGUAAUGAUUUGGAUACUGUCUCGGAGAGGGGCUCGGUGAAAUAGACUUGUCUGUGAAGAUGCGGACUACCUGCACCAGGACAGAAAGACCCUAUGAAGCUUUACUGUAACUUGAAAUUGAAAUUGGACUUUAUUCGCGCAGUAUAGGUGGGAGGCGUUGAUUAUAAUCUUGUGGGAUUAUUGGAGCCAUCAGUGAGAUACCACUCUUGUAAUGUUAGAUUUCUAACUUUGAAUCAUUAUCUGGUCAAAGAACAGUUUCAGGCGGGCAGUUUGACUGGGGCGGUCGCCUCCUAAACGGUAACGGAGGCGUACAAAGGUUUCCUCUGAACGGUUAGAAAUCGUAUCUAGAGUGUAAAGGCAUAAGGAAGCUUGACUGUGAGACCUACAAGUCGAGCAGGGACGAAAGUCGGUCUUAGUGAUCUGACGGUACUGAGUGGAAAGGCCGUCACUCAACGGAUAAAAGUUACUCUAGGAUAACAGGCUGAUCUCCCCCAAGAGUUCACAUCGACGGGGAGGUUUGGCACCUCGAUGUCGGCUCAUCGCAUCCUGGGGCGGUAGUACGUCCCAAGGGUUGGGCUGUUCGCCCAUGAAAGCGGUACGCGAGCUGGGUUCAGAACGUCGUGAGACAGUUCGGUCCAUAUCCGGUGUAGGCGUUAGAAUAUUGAGAGGAGCCUUCUUUAGUACGAGAGGACCGAGAAGGACAUACCUCUGGUGUACCAGUUAUCGUGCCAACGGUAAACGCUGGGUAGCUAUGUAUGGAGUGGAUAACCGCUGAAAGCAUCUAAGUGGGAAGCCCACCUCAAGAUAAGUAUUCUCAU
rnacentral:rRNA from 1 species